rnacentral:lncRNA from 13 species
ACGGGACACUCCAUUUAGAAUGAUUCUUUAUGUAUUUUACGGGACACUCCAUUUAGAAUGAUUCUUUAUGUAUUUUACGGGACACUCCAUUUAGAAUGAUUCUUUAUGUAUUUACGGGACACUCCAUUUAGUAUCACUUGUUAGGUUCCAAUGGAAUAGCUGUCGAACCAUAUAAGACAGAUGUAUCCUAAGUCUUGAUUGCACCUGCGUGUUUUGACACGUUUCUUUCUCCAACAGAACCAUAUAAACAUAACACAAUGGAUGGAACCCUUAUAUCGUUGCUCACGGUCCUCCCUGCAAUUUGAUCAGCGGCGAUCGGAGCUAGCGACAAAACAACAAGAGCCAACAGCAACACAGCUGAUGACACUGUUGAAGACAUGGACCAUACAGAGUCACAUCUAGGUUAAGUUUAGGGAAAUGAGCCCAAUAGUAUAUUUGUAAAAAAUAUAUAUAUAUAUUAUUGUUUUAAACAUAUUGGACUAUGUAUAUAGACUAUGCAUGGUCCAUAUUAUCCGGUAUGCUAUUAGCAAUAAGCAUUAUCACCUGUAGCCCAACUGAUGCAGUAUAGGGAUGCUGAUCUGCCCAUCUGCAUUUACCAUGGGCUAAUCAGUGUUAGGGAAGCUACUCUGAAAAUAUAGUUUACCAAGCUACCAAUUACUUUACACUGGAAGAUGUUAAGAUACACUAAAGCUACCCUUAAGAAAAACACUGGCUAAUCAUUAGCUAAUCCCUAGUUAGCAUGUAUUGAUGAAUGUAAACAUGACAACACAUUAAUAAGGUAUUUGGCUUCAGAUAUUCAAACACAAGAGGCAUGGCAGUGCCACUCAUAGUCCUAGAUAUACCAAGAACCGUAUGAAACCUUAAAGACAGAAUAACACAAUACAAAAUGAACAAGGGAAAUGUAUUUUUAGGCGAAGGAUGUCUGAGUGUGUAAUCAUGUUGGCCAUAUUGUAUUCUGAAUAAAAUUGAUUUACACCAACACAGUCUUUAUGGUCAUUAGUAUUAUGGAAGCCAUAUUUGAUUUUCAAUUGAUUUUCAAUGCCAUAAUGGAUUUGAGGCUAAAUCCAGUGCGGACCCAAAGAUAAUCUGUGGCAGCCCCCUGACUAAAUUACAAAUGUAGAGGCUAAAGAUACAAAAUCCUUCAAGGAACCUUAGACCCCAAAACAUGUAAUUCCGAUGUCUGAGCCCACUUGUUUUCCUUAGAGCUGAUUCCAAUAGCCACAACAUCAAAAGACAGGUGUAA